CGAAAUGCGAUAACUAGUGUGAAUUGCAGAAUUCCGUGAAUCAUCGAGUCUUUGAACGCACAUUGCGCCCCCUGGUAUUCCGGGGGGCAUGCCUGUCCGAGCGUCAUUGCUGCCCAUCAAGCACGGCUUGUGUGUUGGGUCGUCGUCCCCUCUCCGGGGGGGACGGGCCCCAAAGGCAGCGGCGGCACCGCGUCCGAUCCUCGAGCGUAUGGGGCUUUGUCACCCGCUCUGUAGGCCCGGCCGGCGCUUACCGAACGCAAAUCAAUCUUUUUCCAGGUUGACCUCGGAUCAGGUAGGGAUACCCGCUGAACUUAAGC
rnacentral:misc_RNA from 1 species